AAAAAAGUCUGAAGGUGGGAAUUACGCCAAGUCCUUAUGGCUCUUAUGAUCAGGGCUACUACAUGUGCUAUAAUGCCUUCUACAGAAAUUUACAUAUUUGUGAAAAUAUGUUAAUAAUUAAAAGUAGGCUCAGUUCGGAUUGAAGAUUGAAAUCUGUCUUCAUGAAGGAAGAUUCGUUAGUAAUCGAAAAUAAGAAUGUUUCGGUGAAUGGAAUAACCAGUUCGUACAAACCGCCCGUCACUGCUCGAAAUUUUGGAUUUAGCCCAAGUC
rnacentral:rRNA from 11 species